rnacentral:rRNA from 1 species
GACAGAGGGUGCAAACGUUGUUCGGAAUUACUGGGCGUAAAGCGCGUGUAGGCUGCUCAGAAAGUCGGAUGUGAAAGCCCUGGGCUUAACCUAGGAAGUGCAUUCGAAACUUCUGAGCUUGAGUUCUGGAGAGGAAGGCGGAAUUCUCGGUGUAGAGGUGAAAUUCGUAGAUAUCGAGAGGAACACCGGUGGCGAAGGCGGCCUUCUGGACAGUGACUGACGCUGAGGCACGAAGGCCAGGGGAGCAAACGGG